CUCACACCAGCACCCAGCCCCCCACCUCCUCCCUCCCUCUCUCUCUCUCUCUCUCUCUCUCUCUCUCUCUCUCUCUCUCGCUCUCUCAUUCCUGAGGCAAGACCUGGAAGACCAAGGAGGAACAGAGCUUACUUUGGUGCAACCGAAGUACUGAAGAAUCUCCACAGAUUAAUUCCCUAUUAAUCACUGCUUUUCAUUUUAUUUGCAAGCUAUAAGAGAAGAUUUUGCACAUCAUAUUUUUCUCCUGGCUUAAGUAGCUAACGAGUGGAAAACUUUUCUAGCAAAGUUCAGCUCUCUGGCGCUGAGAAAGUCGCAUUAGUUUAUAGGAGGCUGAUACACGUGUUACUGGAAAACAACUAGCCCCCACUAACCGUAACUGGCUGUUUCUAAGAAGUAUUAGUGGGGAGUUGCUAAAGAUUUUCACAACAGGCAUCUCUCUGUUCUCAGCGAGGCUGUUUGAGUUUGCCGAGUUAUAAAGGCAGUCUCAGGUACAAUGGAUCUUGUGGUGUUGGUGGCGUUCGGCUCCUGGCUGGCUCCUGCACUCGGAUCAGCGUUUGGCAGGGAGUUGCCUCAGUGGCAGAUGACGAGGACAAAGACUAUGACAGUGCUUUUCAUUACGAUUAUGAAUCGCUGAGAAUCGGUGGCCUGGUAUUCGCAGUGGUGCUGUUCUUCAUGGGCAUCGCUCUCAUUGUCACCCGAAAAUGUACCUG